AUGGUGAUCAAAUUUCUGCAAGUCAUCAAGCCCUUCUGUGUCAUCCUGCUGGAAAUUUAGAAGCUGGAGAGGAGGAUUCAGUUUAAGGAGAAAGUGCUGUGGACCACUAUUGCCCUCUUUAUCUUCUUAGUGUGCUGCCAGAUUCCUCUAUUUGGUAUCAUGUCUUCAGAUUCAGUUGACCCUUUCUAUUGGAUGAGAGUGAUUCUAGCCUCUAACAGAGGCACAUUGAUGGAGCUGGAGCUGGGGAUCUCUCCCAUUGUCAUGUCUGGCCUUAUAAUGCAACUCUUAGCUGGCGCCAAGAUAAUUGAAGUUGGUGGCACCCCAAAAGACCAAGUUCUCAUCAAUGAAGCCCAAAAGUUACUUCACAUGAUCAUUACUAUUGGCCAGUUAUUGUGUAUGUGAUGACAGGGAUGUACAGGGACCCUUCUGAAAUGGGUGCUGG
rnacentral:lncRNA from 1 species